rnacentral:lncRNA from 1 species
ACUCGAGCUCGGCCCUGUAAUAAAAUGGGGGUGAGAACUAUCUCCCAUAGUUCCCAGUGGGUUCGACCGCCGACUCCGCCGAUCUCCCCACUAGGUCUAAGGAGGCAUAGAGAGACAAUAGAUAGAUGGAUAGGUAUAAUUGAAGGCAACAAUUGUAAUAAAGCAAGUACGAAUGCAAAUAUCUAACUAUGCCUCAAUCCAAUGUAAUGCAUGCAUGAUAAUCAUAGUAAAGGCUGACUACUAGUCUACUAUGUUCGACAAUGAAGUUAUUCAUUAGAUCACCCAAUCAUUCGGUUAAACCGGUAACUCAUUUUCAAUCUCACGUUUGUAAGUCUCAUAGGGGAGUAGCCUUACUGAACUAUCCCCCGAGACCGCCUGCGGACAGAUUCACUGACUGUCCGGGCAGCGCGCGUGGCUGCCCCUCGAGUGACAAAUACUCCGGAGUGCACAGCCUGUGGGGAGCGACCCCGACAAGCGCAGACAGGCUAUGUGAGUAUAAUCCAAUCUCUCAAAAUUGGGAACAUCCUAUCUGUAGGACACUGGAUCUGUGCAAAUUGCGGGGUUCGAGUGUUUGGUUGUGUUUCGAGCUUUUUCACACUUGGUGGAGGGUCGUAGAAUGAUUUCCGACCUAAGAAGUUCGAAAACCUGAGUUCUGGACGAGUCCUGAGAGUUUUUACUCUCGGGGACCGGUCCCUAAUAGGAGAGACCGGUCCCCCAGUGAGCAGUAUUGCGGCAGCCUUGGGGCAACCGGUCCCUGGCGGGCGAGACCGGUCCUCGAGCGCGUGCGCGCGGGGAGAGACCGGUCCCAUGCGGGGAGAGACCGGUUCCCGAAUGUGGAUUUUCUGAGGGCAGGCCGAGAGACGGGUCCCAUGUCGGGGAGACCGGUCCCUCAGCCCGAAAUCUGCCCAGACCGGG